GCCUCCGUAGCUUAAAGCGGUAUAGCAGCAGACUUGUAAUCUGCAGGUCGCGGGUUCAAAUCCCGUCGGGGGCUCCA
rnacentral:tRNA from 1 species